CCUCUAAUAGCUCAGUUGGUAGAGCACUCGUCUAUAACGAGAGGUCACCAGUUCAAUUCUGGGUGGAGGC
rnacentral:tRNA from 1 species